CUAAGUACAUAAGGUUGACUAAUUAAGAAUUUCCUGUUUCUUAUAAAAUUUUAAUAUAACUAAUUGUUGAUUUUUUUUUUCCAGUAACUCUGGGUGGAUUUUAACUACAACUCUUGUCCUCUCGGUGAUGGUAUUGCUUUGGAUUUGUUGUGCAACUGUUGCUACAGCUGUGGAGCAGUAUGUUCCCUCUGAGAAGCUGAGUAUCUAUGGUGACUUGGAGUUUAUGAAUGAACAAAAGCUAAACAGAUAUCCAGCUUCUUCUCUUGUGGUUGUUAGAUCUAAAACUGAAGAUCAUGAAGAAGCAGGGCCUCUACCUACAAAAGUGAAUCUUGCUCAUUCUGAAAUUUAAGCAUUUUUCUUUUAAAAGACAAGUGUAAUAGACAUCUAAAAUUCCACUCCUCAUAGAGCUUUUAAAAUGGUUUCAUUGGAUAUAGGCCUUAAGAAAUCACUAUAAAAUGCAAAUAAAGUUACUCAAAUCUG
rnacentral:lncRNA from 1 species